rnacentral:rRNA from 1 species
UACGGGGGGGGGCAAGCGUUGUUCGGAAUUACUGGGCGUAAAGAGCUCGUAGGCGGUUUGUCGCGUCUGCCGUGAAAGUCCGGGGCUCAACUCCGGAUCUGCGGUGGGUACGGGCAGACUAGAGUGAUGUAGGGGAGACUGGAAUUCCUGGUGUAGCGGUGAAAUGCGCAGAUAUCAGGAGGAACACCGAUGGCGAAGGCAGGUCUCUGGGCAAUUCCUGACGCUGAGGCGCGAAAGCGUGGGGAGCAAACGGG